rnacentral:rRNA from 1 species
ACUAGUCGCUAGGAGUAGACCCGAAACCGGCGCGAUCUAUCCAUGGCCAGGUUGAAGAUUAGGGAGUACUAAUUGGAGGACCGAACCCAAUACUGUUGCAAAAGUAUGGGAUGAGCUGUGGAUCGGAGUGAAAGGCGAAUCAAGCACGGAGAUAGCUGGUUCUCCCCGAAAACUAUUUAGGUAGUGCCUCGUGUAUAACUCAUUGGGGGAAAGCUCUGGUUCGACACUGGGGGUUUUACGACCAUACUGACUCGAUGCAAACUCAGAAUACGAUGA